UAUAAUUAAUUAUAUUUAAUUAAUUAUAAUUAAUUUCUCAUUUUGACUGCUUUUAAAAUUCUUUAGCGUAAAAGUAAAUUAUGGAUUCAUGACCUAUUUAAUGUAUCUCUAACACAUAAUUUUUUUUCAUAGCCACAAUAAUUUCACACCUAAUAAAAUACUUUUAAUAUUAUCUAAUACCAAUCCAUAUUCAGAUUUCUCCAAUUUUUUUUAAGUCGUUUACAGCUGAUUUCUCUCAACCAGGGUACAGUCCAGGACCACUGUUUGCAUUUGGUUAUAUCCCUUAAGUCACUUGAAAAUCUAGAGUAACCCCCCUUUGUAAUGACAUUGACUUACUGAAGAGACUAGGCCAGUUGUCUUGAGCAUAUGGUGCCUUCUGGAUGUGUUUUGAGUAUUUCUAUGUGUAGUUGCCUUGUUGCUCUAUUCCCUGUAUGUUGAAAGCAUUCAUGAAACUUAGUGUAAACAUUUUUAACAAGACUGACAUGGUAGGUAGUAUGUGCUUAAUAUUGUGACACAUCAGUUGACAUACAAUAGCUAGUUUUCCUGCCAGUUAAAGAUGGCCUCUCUUUUUCCCCCUUUGGAGUAGUAACUUUUUGAGUCCUUUUUAUUAGUUAAAUGAAAGUCAUUCUUGAAAAAUACAGAAGUUACAAUACAAAAGAAAUACACAAGUCGUUAGCUAGUACAGAGUGAGGUUCAUUAGAUGCAGGUUGCUUUUCCUCUGGACGUGGAAGGUGGAGAAGGAGAUUUUCAGAGCAUAAAUAUAGAUACAGAUAAAAGUUUAUCCUUUUUGGAUAUUGUUCUCAGUAAAACUCAUGUAAAGUUUGAACACAUAUCUGGAUUACAAAGAGGAUAGACCAUGGCCUUUGUUAAAUAUAGCUAGGUUUUAGCUUGAAAGUAAAAUGCUGAUCCCAGUGUAAUGACAGCAGUUUAGCACAUGAGGGAGAUAGCUAGACUAGGUUUUCAAGACUUGAAGUCAUUAUAAAAGUGUAGUUGUUUACAGGUUUGCUUUAUCACUGAUCCAAAGGAUAGUUGGUUCUUAAUUUUUUAAACUCUUGUAUUACUCUUAAACCACGAUUGAGGCGUGUAUGAUCUACUUAAGUGAUAAAUUGUUGAAAAAUUAAAUAUUUUGUAGAGAAAUUUUUUAAUUAUUUUUUAAUUAUUAAGAAAAACAUUUCAAAACUGAUGGUUCAUUUUUUCGAAAAGAUGACAGUGUAUUAAUAAUACUGAUACCUUUAGUACCCAGUUUUACAUGGCUGGUCUUCUACCUUGCAUAAUACUUUGAACAGGGUGAGUUUUUCAAACCCAUAGGUAACUAGGCAGUUUAAUACAAGCAUGCCUCCAGGUAACAACUGCCUGAAUUGUUUCACUGUCACUUUGCCUACCGUACGUACCUCUCGUUUAUCCCUGUUCCUCCACUCCUCUCCUCCUCUAUCCUUCCUGCUACCCCCGAGCUCCCAGGUAUGUAACAUUGCUAGUUAGUGAUCUUUGGUUUAGGAAUGUCACUGACACUGUCUGCUGGCUUCCAUUUUAUUAACCAUCUUUUUCUUUUAUAAAAAAAUAUAAUUCAUACAUCAGCUCACUUGUCACUCUUUUGAGGAGUGUAAAAAAUGCAGGGCUGACCUCUUUAAACAUUGUACUGCUCAAAAUAGCUCUGCUUACAAGAUGAAUAAAAAGAGAAGAAAUCAAAUCAUUUAAUGGUGCCAUCUUUUUAGUUUGGGGGAAAGUGGUCGAAGCUGUUGGCUAAAAUGUUUUUUAAACUAUUGGUCUGCUUUAUUUACCUUUUUGCUUCUUUUCAUGAUUGUCUCAAACACGUUUUGUUUUAUAAGUAAAAAUAUUUUCUGUCUAUGCUUUCUCUCAUUUUCAGGUGUUGAAAGUAACUGAAGUAUGAAGAGGACAUACUAUCUAGCAGGGUCAUUCAGUGACUGUAACCUCUACCCCCUGGGAAUUGUAGAAUUAUAACUUUUUUUUAAUGUAUAAAUUCUCCCUGGCCUGUACAGCUCUUUCCUACCCACUCUUCUUGUAAACUCUGCUGCUUCCCAACACAACUAGCGUGCAAUUUUGGCGUCUUAGGAGGGGAAAAUGACAGUUUACAACUGUGGCCCUAUUUAUUACACAGUUUGUCUUCAUGUCUUAAAUUUAGUCUUCACUGUGCCAAGCUAACUGUAUCAUAUAGGAUUGUGCUUUUUGUACUUGUUCUUUGUGUGUAUGUUUUUUAAAAUCCCAGUUUAAAUUACCUAGCUGCUACAGCUUCUUGUUUUUCUUAUUAAAAUGUCUUCCUUAUUUUAGAAAAAAUGGAACAUUUAGAUUAAAUGUCUUAAAAUUUACCACUUACAACACUACAUGCCCACAAAAUAUAUCAGGUUAGUACUGUACUUUAAAAUCCCUUGAAAUGAUUUCAAAGUGAAAAUUACUUGCAUCAUCUCUGAAGUUUGCUUCUGAAAACUACGGUUUGAGCACUGAAACCUUAAAACUGCCUAAGUGGGCAUUUCGAGACUGAGCAAGGCUACUUAAUUGUUAUCUCAUGAAAUGCCUGUUGCUGUAUUUUCUUGAAUAGAAAUGUUUUACAAUUUCAAAAGCAAAUCUCAGUUUAAGAAAGAGAGUUUGGAAAAGGAGUUGUAUUUCUCUGCUUCCCAAUCCUGUAAUCAACAUAGCUCGAUGGAAUGAAAAUACCCUGCUUUGUUCUGGUGAGCCUGCUAGUUAAUAUGAGAAUUGGACAGAUACUAAUUUGUCAUCUUAAUAUAGUGAGAUGAGUUAAGAUAUUAUGGGAUUAAACAUGAUUUUAUACUGUUAGUACUAUAUUAGUUGAAUUAUAGACUAUGGAAAUUGAGAAAAUGUGGAAGAACAGGACAAAUAUAUAGUGAAUUUAUCAAUAUGCAGGUAAAUUUUGGUCUGAAAUCCCGGAGGUGUUUUUAACCUGCUACACUAAGUCAUACACUAUAAUUUAUUUCUCAUUUAGUCUAGACAUAGUAAAUGGUUUGCAAGUCACUAAUAAUCCUCAAAAUUACUUUGUUGGCUGUAGCCCAUAAUUUUGUAAUUAGUACUAAGUGUAUCUGUUUUUGCCACUUCUUCCUCAGAUGAUUAAACUUAGUCAACAGUUUAUUUUAGGGAGAUAUAAAACUAAUAGGGAAAGAUUUCAAUAUUUGCUUCAUCAAUGGGGGGUGACUGCAACUGUCUUAGCAGAAAUUUGCAGAGAUUGGGGAUAUAAGGUUGAAACUUAGAAAGUUCUGUUUUAGGAUCUGGCUGGCAGAAUUAACUUUUUGAAGAAGUUUUAUACACAGAUAUUUGUAUUAAAUUUGGAGCCAUAGUCAGAAGACUCAGAUCAUAAUUGGCUUAUUUUUCUAUUUCCUUAACUAUUGUAAUUUCCACUUUUAUAAUAAUUUUCAUUUAAAAGAUGAAUUUAUUUAUUUAUUUUUUUAACAGUCAAAAAUCCUUGCUGUUGUAGUCUGCAACCUUUAAAAUGAUUGUGUUGCUUUUAAGAUUGAUCAAAAGAAACAGUCCAUAAACUGAGGUGAAACUUUGGUGCAGCAAGGUUGAAGUAAUGCAGUUGACUAAAAAGGAAAGUGCUACAGCCUGUUUAUGACACUUUUCUAAGUGGAGAAAUAUUUGGCUGCAUUCACACAGACAUUUGUAUUUUGUUUUCAAAUGAAAACUUGCUUCUUUGGCAAUAUUCAUAAAUGAGGCAGAAUUUUUUUUCUCUUUUGUCUGAAUAUGGUAAUUCAUUCUUGUAAGAUGUAUCACGGGUAUUGGUGCUGUGUAACAAUGAAUGGUUCAGAAUACACAAUGUUAGGUUUUUCAAAAUAUCUCAGUGGUUCUUUUCUAUUUAUAAUUUCAAACUUUCAAAAAGUGCACAAAGAAUUUCAUAAAUUUGUUUUCUGUGAACUGCUCUUUUUGCUAUGGUAGGUCAUUAAACACAGCAUUUACUCUUAUAAAUGAAAAUUUCUGAUCAUCUAGAACGUUGACACUUACUUCAAUUUGCAGUGUCUUUUUUUGGACUGACUAUAUUAACGUUCCUCUGAAUGGUAUUGAUAAAUGGUUCAGAAGAGAAACUCAGUGAAAUAAAAGAGUAAUAUUUAUUCAUGGUGAUCAAUUAAGUUAUUUUCCUAACUUAAGAAAACUACUGUGCGUAACUCUCAGUUUGACAUGAGGUGAUAGAAAGAGCCUGAGUCUACCUGUGGGACAUGUCGGUGCAUUUUCAGUGCUUGAAGAUACAGUCAAAGAUAAUUGGUUUGGGAAGACGCCAUAUAAUUUUAAGUUUUAAGUUAACCUGCAUGCUGUGAAUGUGUUUUAUGUUUAAAUAAAAAGGAAAAUUCUUUUGAAAUGUAAUGACUUUCUUAAAUCUUAUUCAGUGGAGCAUUAGGUUGAUGUAUAUGACUAAGUGGCCUUCUGUCUUGACAGAAUAGCG
rnacentral:lncRNA from 1 species